rnacentral:piRNA from 1 species
UGAAAGGUUCUUCUGAUUGUAUGAGCCUUG